rnacentral:rRNA from 1 species
GACAAGAAGAUCGGUGAAGGUCGCUAACCGCACCCCCCCCCCCACACGCGCCCUCUCUUUUUGAAAACUUGCUCCGUGGGCCCACGGCCUGCCAGAGAUAAACUCAACCAAUUUUUAUUUAAUUGUCAACUUGUUAACUAAUAGUCAAAACUUUCAACAACGGAUCUCUUGGUUCUCGCAUCGAUGAAGAACGCAGCGAAAUGCGAUAAGUAAUAUGAAUUGCAGAUAUUCGUGAAUCAUCGAAUCUUUGAACGCACAUUGCGCCCUUUGGUAUUCCAAAGGGCAUGCCUGUUUGAGCGUCAUUUCUCCCUCAAACCUUCGGGUUUGGUGUUGAGCGAUACGCUGGGUUUGCUUGAAAGAAAGGCGGAGUAUAAACUAAUGGAUAGGUUUUUUUUUUCCACUCAUUGGUACAAACUCCAAACAUUCUUCCAAAUUCGACCUCAAAUCAGGUAGGACUACCCGCUGAACUUAAGCAUAUCAAUAAGCGGGAGGGAACAUUACAGAAAUAGGAGAAGGUUGCUUAACUGCAAUCCUUUUCUUUCUACACAUGUGUUUUUCUUUUUUUUGAAAACUUUGCUUUGGUGGGCCCACGGCCUGCCAGAGAUUAAACUCACCAAAUUUUUAUUUAAUUGUCACUUGAUUAACUAAUAGUCAAAACUUUCACACGGAUCUCUUGUUUUCGCAUCGAUGAAGACGCAGCGAAUGCGAUAGUAUAUGAAUUGCAGAUAUCGUGAAUCAUCGAUCUUGACGCACAUUGCGCCUUUGUAUUCAAAGGCAUGCUGUUUGAGCGUCAUUCUCUUCACUUUCGGUUUGUUGUGACGAUACGCUGGCUUUGCCUGAGGAAAGGCGGAGUUAACUAUGCAUAGGGAUUUGUUUC